GUUGUAUGGUUAAGUGACUAAGCGUACAUGGUGGAUGCCUUGGCAGUCAGAGGCGAUGAAGGACGUACUAACCUGCGAUAAGCCGUGAGCAGUCGGUAAGAGACAUUACGACUCACGGAUUU
rnacentral:rRNA from 1 species